rnacentral:rRNA from 1 species
GAUGAACGCUGGCGGCGUGCCUAAUACAUGCAAGUCGAGCGAACAGAUAAGGCGCUUGCUCCUUUGACGUUAGCGGCGGACGGGUGAGUAACACGUGGGUAACCUACCUAUAAGACUGGGAUAACUUCGGGAAACCGGAGCUAAUACCGGAUAACAUCUUGAACCGCAUGGUUCUAAAGUGAAAGAUGGUUUUGCUAUCACUUCUAGAUGGACCCGCGCCGUAUUAGCUAGUUGGUAAGGUAAAGGCUUACCAAGGCAACUAUACGUAGCCGACCUGAGAGGGUGAUCGGCCACCCGGGAACGGGGACACGGACCAGACGCCUACGGGAGGCAGCAGUAGGGAAUCUGACGCAAUGGGCGAGAACCUGACGGAGCAACGCGGCGUGAGAGAUGAAGAGUUGCGGUUCGUAAAAAUCGGUUAUGAGGGAAAAACAAAUGUGUAAGGUACUGUGCACGGCGUGACGGUACCGAGUCAGAAAGCAACGGCUAACUACGUG